GACGAACGCUGGCGGCGUGCUUAACACAUGCAAGUCGAACGGAAAGGCCCUGCUUGCGGGGUACUCGAGUGGCCAACGGGCGAGUAACAAGCGGGUGAUCAGCCCUGCACUUCGGGUUAAGCUUGGGAAACAGGGUCUAACACCGGACAGGAACGCACUUGAGCGGGAGGGGUGGAAAGUUUUUGAGGUGUAGGAUGAGCUUGCGGCGUAUCGGCUUGCUGGUGGGGUAAUGGCCUACCGAGGCGGCGACGGGUAGCCGGCCUGAGGGGGUGUCCGGCCACACUGGCUCUGAGAGACGGCCCAGACACCUACUGUAGGCCGCAGGGGGGAAUAUUGCACGAUGGGCGCCAGCCUGAUGCAGCGAGGCUGCGGGGGGUAUGAAGGUCUUCGGGUUGUAAACCCCUUUCGCUAGGGACGAAGCUUUUUGUGACGGUACCUAGACAAGAAGCCCCGGCUAACUACGUG
rnacentral:rRNA from 1 species